rnacentral:lncRNA from 8 species
ACAGCAAAACAAAGAGGCACAUUGUCUCCUUGUCAAGCUGGGGCAACAGACGUAGCAUUGCAGUCUGGAUGAAAGAGGGGGCCGCAGGCAGAAGACUUUCUCACAAGGAAAAUCAAGAAAAAGUGCCCCCCUUUGCGUUUCUCUAUCCACUCCCCUCGUUCUCCAACUGCGCAGCCCUAGCGCCUGCCUUUGUCCCCAUCACAACAAUCAUCGAACAGAUGGUGCUAUGCUUGGGUGAGAAUGACAGGCACCAGCCAGCAGCCAAUCGCGUAGUCAGGAAUCAGCUGACUCGUCUGGACAGCGCCAGGUGCUGUUUUCAUAUUUUCCUUGAAGGAGCAGUGGGCUACGGGCGAAGAGUAGAAUAUCGGCAGGCAACUAGUCAAUGUGGCUUCAGUUGGCGUUUGGAUGUCUCUACAAUCUGCACUAUGCUCUGCUCUAAGACUCACCGUGCAGUCCUGAGGUUUUGAUGAAAGAAACACUCUGAACAGUGGGAGGCUCACUAUAACUCUGGAACUGUUUCACUGGAACCCCCUGCACAUCUUUUUCCACCUGGACCAUUUUACAGGGAUACAACUACAAGUCAGCAAAACCUCUGGUUAAUGACAAUAACACAGCUCUUUCCAAGGUCAUCAACCUUUUCUGGUGUCCAACCCUCUGUGGGUUUGGACC